rnacentral:lncRNA from 1 species
GCUGGCGGUGAUAGAGCUUUAUCACCAGUUUUGAAGUUGGUGGGGGUAGCAACCCUCAGAACCGAUGGUGAUGCUCACUUUCAUCACCGGUAAAACCGGCAGUGAAAGUAUCACCGCCGGAUUUUAACACCACCCGGCGCUGAAACAGUGCACGAACGCGAAAUAACCUUUCGUUCCACUUAAUUCCGUCUCACGUCCGCACUACCCCCCUCCUCCCCUUCUGCACCCACGCGCCGACCUCUCUUCCCCUCAGUCUCUCACUCUCUCCCUCCCUCCCCCCGCCCUCUCCUCCCUCCUCUCCCGUGUCCUCUCCUCCCUCACUCCCGACGACCUCUCCUUCCUCCUCCCUUCCUCCCACCACCCUCUCCUCC